rnacentral:rRNA from 1 species
UGCUAAUACCGUAUAACAAUCAAAACCGCAUGGUUUUGAUUUGAAAGGCGCUUUCGGGUGUCGCUGAUGGAUGGACCCGCGGUGCAUUAGCUAGUUGGUGAGGUAACGGCUCACCAAGGCCACGAUGCAUAGCCGACCUGAGAGGGUGAUCGGCCACAUUGGGACUGAGACACGGCCCAAACUCCUACGGGAGGCAGCAGUAGGGAAUCUUCGGCAAUGGACGAAAGUCUGACCGAGCAACGCCGCGUGAGUGAAGAAGGUUUUCGGAUCGUAAAACUCUGUUGUUAGAGAAGAACAAGGAUGAGAGUAACUGUUCAUCCCUUGACGGUAUCUAACCAGAAAGCCACGGCUAACUACGUGCCAGCAGCCGCGGUAAUACGUAGGUGGCAAGCGUUGUCCGGAUUUAUUGGGCGUAAAGCGAGCGCAGGCGGUUUCUUAAGUCUGAUGUGAAAGCCCCCGGCUCAACCGGGGAGGGUCAUUGGAAACUGGGAGACUUGAGUGCAGAAGAGGAGAGUGGAAUUCCAUGUGUAGCGGUGAAAUGCGUAGAUAUAUGGAGGAACACCAGUGGCGAAGGCGGCUCUCUGGUCUGUAACUGACGCUGAGGCUCGAAAGCGUGGGGAGCAAACAGGAUUAGAUACCCUGGUAGUCCACGCCGUAAACGAUGAGUGCUAAGUGUUGGAGGGUUUCCGCCCUUCAGUGCUGCAGCUAACGCAUUAAGCACUCCGCCUGGGGAGUACGACCGCAAGGUUGAAACUCAAAGGAAUUGACGGGGGCCCGCACAAGCGGUGGAGCAUGUGGUUUAAUUCGAAGCAACGCGAAGAACCUUACCAGGUCUUGACAUCCUUUGACCACUCUAGAGAUAGAGCUUCCCCUUCGGGGGCAAAGUGACAGGUGGUGCAUGGUUGUCGUCAGCUCGUGUCGUGAGAUGUUGGGUUAAGUCCCGCAACGAGCGCAACCCUUAUUGUUAGUUGCCAUCAUUCAGUUGGCCACUCUAGCAAGACUGCCGGUGACAAACCGGAGGAAGGUGGGGAUGACGUCAAAU